CAAUAGCGUAUAUUAAAGUUGUUGCGGUUAAAAAGCUCGUAGUUGGAUUUCUGCCGAGGACGACCGGUCCGCCCUCCGGGUGAGUAUCUGGCUCGGCCUGGGCAUCUUCUUGGAGAACGUAGCUGCACUUGGCUGUGUGGUGCGGUAUUCAGGACUUUUACUUUGAGGAGAUUAGAGUGUUUCAAGCAGGCACACGCCUUGAAUACAUUAGCAUGGAAUAAUAAGAUAGGACCUCGGUUCUAUUUUGUUGGUUUCUAGAGCUGAGGUAAUGAUUAAUAGGGAUAGUUGGGGGCAUUCGUAUUUAACUGUCAGAGGUGAAAUCCUUGGAUUUGUUAAAGACGGACUACUGCGAAAGCAUUUGCCAAGGAUGUUUUCAUUGA
rnacentral:rRNA from 1 species